UGAUCUGCACGCACCUUUUCUUCAUUAUUCUUGAGUUGCUAAAUGCUUCUUCGAUUGUGCGCGUUCAUACCACGCGGAUUGUACAUACUCGGGGGUAAAACGUGAGUAAUGUUCCGUCGGCCGUAGUAUUCUUUUGGUAUUAUACGCGUAUUUCAUCGGUUCUACAAUGUGCAAUUAAGGUCCAUACAACUUAUUGGAUAUACCUAAACGCAAACAUUUAUUUUGCAUCAAGGGCUGUAGAAAUUGAACGGGAACUCGCAGGAGGGUCAUUUUUGCAUCAGAUUGGCUAUAGAAUUUGAACGGGAACUCGCAGGAGGGCCAUUUUUGCAUCAAAUUGGCUGUAGAAAUUGAACGGGAACUCGCAGGAGGGUCAUUUUUGCAUAAAAUUGACUUUUGCACCUGAGUAUGUCACUGUCGACGGACCAUUCUUGCACCAGAUUGGAUUUCGCACCUGAGUCUGACACCGUAGAAGGACCAUUCUUGCAUCAGAUUGGAUUUUGCACCCGAAGUCGACAUCGUAGCAGAACCAUUCUUGCAUCAGAUUGAUAUGCGUCUUAAAUCAUAUUUUAUAUGAAGCUUAUGUGAGUGCAACAUAGGUAAGGCUUGUGUUGUUGUUUUUAAAAAGUUUAAUAAAGUAGAAACAUAAAUAGAAGAAUCAAAUAUAAAUGAUAAAAACACUCGGUGGUCGAGUGGAUACGUGCACCUGCUGGCAUGCUGGUAGACACGGAUCGAGUCUCAGGUAUCGGAGGCAUUUUUCUCAAAUAUAAAAAUAUCAGGUGAAAUUUGGGUUGCAUAUAUGAAUGGCAACGAAAUAUAAGAGAAAUUGAAAUACAAGUGAAGACAAUGGAGACAUAAGAAAGCAAGUGGAGAAACAGAGAAAUAGAAGGAGUAGUAGAAGAUAAAUGGAAGAGAAUAGAGAGUAGAGUAGAGAAGAGGAGGAGAUAGAAGAAAGAGAACAGGAGUGGACGAAAUUUUUAAAUUUUUUGGCACGUGUCGUUAUAAGACAGUCUACGGUCGAUCUCCCAGAGCGCCUCCGGCGCUCUGGUCGAUCGCCCACUGCUUCGAUGCGUCCAUUGCUCCCGGCCCAUCCUACAGCUACGAUGUCUCUGCGCUUCAUCCCCGAAAUUAUCAGGCAUAUCAACAAUUUUUAUGGUGGGGGAUCACCCCCAGAGAGAGGGAACUCCUUAUAAGGACGAUCCUUAUAAGGUCUUGUUCAAAUAUUUCUAAGUUUAAAGUCGUCUCAAGAGAGACGACACUUAAAAAUACUCUUACAAGUUCUGACCUGUACCUGAAAUGAAGGAAGGAGUACACAAAUCAUACAGGUUACCUUAACAAUAUUUAUAGUGGGGAUCAUCCCCUGAGAGAGGGAACUCUUCCUGAAAUGAUAGAGUGGGUACACACAAAUAAAAGAAGUCAAUAUAUCUUACUAUUUAUUUAUUAAGAAUAGAAUACAAGUUUUGAUUUU